rnacentral:rRNA from 1 species
AGCAGCCGCGGUAAUUCCAGCUCCAAUAGCGUAUAUUAAAGUUGUUGCAGUUAAAAAGCCCGUAGUUGAAUUUCGGGGUUAGCAGGUCGGUCGUGCCAUCGGUAUGAACUGGUCUCGCUGAUCCCUCCCUCUUGACGAACUGUGAUGCCAUUAAUUUGGUGUCGCAGGGAAUCAGGACUGUUACUUUGAAAAAAUUAGAGUGUUUAAAGCAGGCUCACGCUUGAAUACAUUAGCAUGGAAUAAUGAAAUAGGACGUUUGAUCCUAUUUUGUUGGUUUCUAGGAUUGACGUAAUGAUUAAUAGGGAUAGUUGGGGGCAUUAGUAUUCAAUUGUCAGAGGUGAAAUUCUUGGAUUUAUUGAAGACUAACUACUGCGAAAGCAUUUGCCAAGGAUGUUUUCAUUAAUCAAGAACGAAAGUUAGGGGAUCGAAGACGAUCAGAUACCGUCGUAGUCUUAACCAUAAACUAUGCCGACUAGGGAUCGGAUGAUGUUAAUUUUUUAAUGACUCAUUCGGCGCCUUACG